GACGAACGCUGGCGGCGUGCUUAACACAUGCAAGUCGAACGGAAAGGCCCUGCUUUUGUGGGGUGCUCGAGUGGCGAACGGGUGAGUAACACGUGAGUAACCUGCCCUUGACUUUGGGAUAACUUCAGGAAACUGGGGCUAAUACCGGAUAGGAGCUCCUGCUGCAUGGUGGGGGUUGGAAAGUUUCGGCGGUUGGGGAUGGACUCGCGGCUUAUCAGCUUGUUGGUGGGGUAGUGGCUUACCAAGGCUUUGACGGGUAGCCGGCCUGAGAGGGUGACCGGCCGCAUUGGGAAUGAGAUGCAGCUCAGGCGGCUGCGGGAGGCAGCAGCGGGGAAUGGUGCACAAGGGGCGGAAGGCUGGUGCAGCGACGCCGCGUGCGAGAAGACGGGCUUCGGGUUGUAGACCGAUUAAGCCGGUGGCGAAGCGUGCGUGUCGGUGAUGGGUAAGAAAGCACCGGCUAGCUAGGUG
rnacentral:rRNA from 1 species